UUCACACUCCCUCCGUCCGAAAUUAUUUGUUAUAGGAUUGGAUGUUUUAGGCUUACUUUAAUUCUAGAUACAUUCGUUACUAUACGUUUUUGCAACAAUUAAUUCUGGACGGGGGAAGUAUGUC
rnacentral:pre_miRNA from 2 species